AAUUCCCACGUGGCUUUUCCUUUUUCAAGCUAUUUUGUUCCUUUCCAAUUCAUUGGUUUUGCUUCGUCGUUUUCAUCUCUUUUCUGUUCUGCAUAGUCCAAAACUAUCAGUUUCUCCAGCUUUGAGCAUUUUCAGCUGCAAUGGUUUUCCGAAGGGUCUCCAUCUGUAUCCAGGAUCGCAACAUCAAAGAAUAGGCUUAAAAGUCAAAUGGAGGGAAUCCAUUACGGGAUCCAGGCAACUGACCUAACAGAAGACAGUUUAAACUGAGCUCUACGCUAAGAAUUCUUAGAGAUCUGUUUUACUACCACAUUACUUUGCCUAUUAAUUCCUGAAACCAAAAAUGUUCCAAAAUCUCAUAUAUAUCUGAAUUGAAGGCUGGUUAGGAGCUAUUGCAGCUUGCAGUCUAACUCGAGCGUACUGAUUACUAUGAUGCUUCUAAGAUGUUCAAAAACUUGCUCCAUCGUGUUGGGAUCAUGAGGGUGGAUGUGACUCCAUUGCUGUUGGUUUCUCAAUUCUCCAACUCAUAAGGAAGCCAACGGAGGGAUAAGAAAUUAAUGAUAAUAAGAAAAUGUUUUAGAGCAAAGGAGAACAACCACUUAUCGGUUACAGGACCUUAUCAAAUAUAGAUUGUGAUAUGAAAACCAUAUGUUUUCUGAUACCUCACUGUGAAGCAAGAAAAAGCAAAACUCUGUCAAAUGGGGCCCUGUAAACAAUAGAAAGAAAGACCCAAAAAUACAAACAAACAAACAAAUGGCUUCCAAUUAGCCAUAGAUAUCAGCUUGGAGUUGGUUAGUGACUUUGUCAUGUACCUCACUCGCACCUCACCUUCUCCCCACUAUCAAAUAAGAAAUUUACCUUAGAAAUGAGGCUAGCCUUUUGGUUUCUCCAAAAGCCAAUUCUAAAAAAGAAAAAGGCUUAAACAGCAACCUCUUGUUUGAGAGAAUCAUGUGGACCCUUAAGACUUUUUGUUGUGGGCUAUCUAUUUCAAAACGAUUGAGGAGAAAAUGAAGGAAAAAUCUUCGGACUAUGGCUGAAAUGCAGUCAGGUCCACACAAGAAUGACAAAAAUUGGGAGGAGACAAGAAUGACAAAAAUUGGUAGGGGAAGAAAAAUAAAUGAGGUUUUCAAGAAAAAGGGAACACGUUGAUGAUGGAACGCGGGACUCACCGGCAUGACCAACACGCGUUCCUGUUUUCCUUCAUAACGCAGUUUCUCCCCUCUUCCAUAAACGACAACCUUUUUAACAAGAAUAUGGAAACGACGUGUCGUCCGGAAUCAGUGGACCAUUUCUUUUUUGGAAAGUUUCAUCUGCUUACAAAACUAAUAAAAUUUAUCCCAUAAAUGUUCCAAAUGCAACCAAAACUAGUUUACAAUCAUAUAAUUGUGGAGAUAUUUGGAAGGUCGGAUGUUUUAAUAAUAAAAAUUUCUCUUUUUACGGAUAAUAUUUAAAAUGAAAAGAAGUUUAGUUCAACAAUAACCGUAUGUAUAACUUUUAAGAUAGGUGAUAUUUUAAUUGUCGAUUUGUAUUUUGGUUGA